UUGAUCUGAAUCCUUCUUUGUUCUGACGGAGGAGGAAGAGACGAAACAUAGUUACUGUACUUCCUUAGAACCUGGAAGAUAAAACUGAUCAGACGGAAUUGUAAUUGGAAUCAGUGAUUGCUGAGUGGUUAUGGAAGGAGUAGGAGGUCGGUUAGGGAGGUCCUCGACUCGUUACGGAGGACCGGCGACGGUUUUCACGGGUCCGGUGAGGAAGUGGAAGAAGAAGUGGGUUCACGUCUCUCCCUCCACCAAGAAACUCAAUCACUCCUCCUCAUCCGCUUCCGACGGCGCUAACGGAUCGCAUUUGCUGUUCUUCAAGUGGGCACCAUUGUCUCGGACCGGGAACUAGAUUGGUUAGAUUGCAGUACUUGAGGAGCAGAAGAAUGAAGUUACAGAAAUUGAGGAAGAUGAUAAGGUUGAGGAAGAGGAGCAGAAGAAAGAAAUUGAGCAAGACGCAAGUGCAGCAGAGCUAAGUGAGAAGAGAGCACAAGUUGAGGAAAAACCAGACAUGAAUGAUGUUCCUAUGGAAGAUAAUCAAGUAACACUUUUUUUUAACCUCACCUUAUGCUCCCUUCCUUUUAGCCUUACCCAACUUAAGAGACAGUUGAAUUAAAAUUUCAAAUACCAGUUAUUUUCAUAUUAAUAUAAUUAGCUUAGUA